rnacentral:rRNA from 1 species
UACAGAGGGUGCGAGCGUUGUCCGGAAUCACUGGGCGUAAAGGGCGCGUAGGCGGCUUGAUAAGGUUGCGGUGAAAGCCCGGGGCUCAACCCCGGGUCGGCCGUGGCAACUGCCGAGCUGGAGCACUGUAGAGGCAGGUGGAAUUCCGGGUGUAGCGGUGGAAUGCGUAGAGAUCCGGAAGAACAUCGGUGGCGAAGGCGGCCUGCUGGGCCGUUGCUGACGCUGAGGCGCGACAGCGUGGGGAGCAAACAGG